GCGGCUGCUCUGCUUAGAGAAAAGAGCUCGGAAGAGUUUCCGAGUUACUCCUUGGUUACUCCCACUCCCGCACUUCCUCCUUUAAAAAGGGAACUUGAGAAUGAAGUUCCAGUACAGAAAUCAAUAUCCAUUCUAUAAAAAGAAGCUAUGACCUUGCUGGUAGGAAAUGUCUUAACAUUUCAGAAUCAGCAAAGACACAUGGCCUGCCACUCAAACAGGAAAGGAAAGCAAUUAGCGACAAGCACACCUGCUUCUGAGACCCUGACAGCUGCUCGCUCUUGUCAGGUGGGCCCAGUUUCCACCCAAAUCAAAGGGAACGGUUUUCAAAUUUGUAUCCUGGUGAUUACAAAAUUUUCUUUUUUUAGUAAUAUCUUUCUCUACAAAUAGCUUUAAGACAAGUAUUGUAGCAUUUUCGACUCAUACUUAAAUUAAAGCAGAUGGGCUGGGCAGUAGUGGCACAGGAACGACAGACACACACAAGAGAGACAGAGGCAGGCAGGUCUCUGAAUUUGAGGUCAGCCUGGUCUAUAAAGUGAGUUCCCAGAUGCCAAGGCUACACAGGGAAACCAUGUCUCAACCAAAAUAAAUAAAUAAAUAGAUUGUGCUCAUCCAUACCUUCAUUUCACUUGUACUAUGGAGACUAGUUAAUAGCACUUGAAGAUACUCAAGCAUCUUUUAUUAUAAAGUUAAGCUCGUUCUUUUUCUAAACAACUAUAACAACCUGAUGCAGUAAAAACUACCUCCAAUUAGUUGCUUUGCCUGAAAAUUAAGUCAAAUGCUUUUCUUGAUUUUUCUAUCGUUCUUUUUUUAAUCUCACUAAGUAGUUUUCCUGGAAAACAAUUUAAAUCUUAAAUCGUUUUAAUUCACUUUUCAACUUCAUUACAUAUUAAUUCAAAACCUGCCUACUGAGUUCAUUAUUUCAUUAACGGGUACACUUGAGGACUUAGGGUGGUAUUCUGCGGUAGCAAAGUGUGCUCAAGGCCUUAGGGUCAAUCCCCAGAACCAAACCAACUAACCCACCAAAACUUCAACUUUCAACUAUAAUAGUUUUUGAUAAAGCAAAUUCAGAAGUAAAACCCCAAAGGACACCUGGCUUCUGCUUGUCAACACCACUCUGAAAUGUUUCCUACCCUGUAUCAGGACAGUUGAAAUGACUGUAGCAGCUGCAAGUUCCCUGAGGUUGCAAAACAGACAUUUGGAAAAGGUUAUUUGAAUCACCUUUCAAAAUAACCCACAGCACAGGAGCAGCAUGCAAAGCAAGAACCCAAAGGCCCUUUUUAGCAUCUACCUACCUAAUAGUGUUUCAAAAUUCCCCAGCUAUGCAUAGGUCAACUCAACACUUUCCUUUCUCACUGACAAAACUACAAUUUGUCCAAUGGGGGGUCGAGGUGAUGAAGAUGUUCUCUUUGUUUAGGUUAACAAAUAAGACAUUUCAAAACCCAUCUUGUCUGUAUAAAAUUCCUCUUACAACGUUCUGCUGUUAGGACAUUUUUGUCUACAUCUCAAAGAAAACUGGCUGUGUUAUGACUUCACUUCCGCUAUGCUUUUUUUUUUUCUUUUCUUUUUUUCCGGAGCUGGGGACCGAACCCAGGGCCUUGCGCUUCCUAGGCAAGCGCUCUACCACUGAGCUAAAUCCCCAACCCCCCGCUAUGCUUGUUUUUAUGAAUCAUGUUUCAUAGUCAUCUGUCUGUAGGUCUCUUAUACUAUCUAAUCACUAAUUGUCCAAUGAUGAUAGUAUGAUUUUUUUCACUAAACACAGAAAUAUUCCCAAUUUAAAGCAAUAACUCACAAUGAACAUUGGUGUGCAGUAUGUGGGUUGUGAAGUAAACUAGUGAGAUCACUGAUGUCAUGCCAAGAGUCUUCUGUUGCCACUAACUUAGUCUGACAUGGGCUCUAAUUUACAAACAUAAAAUCAAAUUUUUCCCUGUCCUUUUCUUCCAAAUGUUGCCUCCAUUUAUAAUACCCAUCACCUCUGAAUGGCACUAAAAUGCAGCACACCAUGCACAGCCUACUCAGGAUCAAGCCUACAAAAUCACUAUGAGUAAAAAUACUUGACAGGAAUUAGGCUUUCAUGUUAACAAUAUGUAUGUUAGAGAAAGUGUGAAAAGAAGGUAAGAGAAUCAAGGUUUCAAAAGAGUCAGCAAAACGGCUCAGCAAGAAAAGGUGCCUACUGCCGAGCGUAAAGAUGGGGUCCAGAGCAUCCGAGGAGCAACUCCUGUUCAACUGUCCUCUGAAUGGCACAUACCAGUGAGCAUGUAAAAACAAAAACUUAAGGAAAGCAUGAAACUGACAGGAACUGAAGAACUCAGCAGAAAUUGUGAAGGACACAUAAUGUGACUUGAGGAAGAUUAGUCUUGAUUAACCAGAUUAACACUGGAGACAGCCUUGACAUUAUGGAGAAUUUCAGAUUAGUUCAAACCACACUAAAGACUCUCAGAAAUUCCAAGGUGGAGUAGUGGUCUUAAGAACGGAGCAAAUGCUGUCAAACUGGGGUUUCUUAUCCUCUAAGACACAGACAAACUUCACAAUAAAAACAUUCUCUAUACCCAUUAAUCCCACUUGAUCACUGAACUGGUUUACCCCCAGAAACAGAAACAACUUUAAAGAUCACAUCUCGUCAGAAAUGCAAAACAGAAUGUAGCUAAGCCAGGCUCUGUGGAACAUGAAUUCCAGGUCUCAGAAACUGUCGCAGGAGCAAACUGGUCACAGACAGUUUUGGGUCCUGGACAGUCAGGGCUGAGGAUAUUCCUUAGCUUACAUAAGCAAGGCUCUUGGUUAGCUUCCCAUGGACCAUAGCAUACACACCAUAUGCACACAGUGCUCAACGUAGUUCUCAUAUUUACCUAAUUUAAACUACUCACCAAACAAAACCUUGUCUGCAAGUACACGACAGUUGUGUCACUAGACUCUUUCUCUAACACAUCCUUCUCAAUCUACGACUCUCAUCUUUCUGCACUAACCAGCCAUGUCUCCUUCAUGAUAGGCUUUCUACUAUAAUGCAAAGUAGAAAACACAUCCUACUACUAAAACACAUCAAACAUGCAUCUAAAUUACAUAUAUGAAUAUAAUGAUGGCACAACCUAGAACAACCUUCCUGUUAAACGAGGGGGAAAAGAGGGGACAAGAUGUCCAAAUCUUAAGACAAACUAGAAGAUCUGAUUCUGAAUUCUAUCAAAUGAUACAUUACUUAGAGCCAACAUUUUUUACCACUGCUGGAAUAAAAAUAUAAUUUAUCAGAACUGCUAAAACAAAUGUAUCAAGGGUGCAUUUUUAUGCCAAAAGAAUUAACAUUCUCUGAGAAGAAUGAAAUUUCAACCCAAAAAUACUAUGAAAGGAAUUAAACACCACUUCUCCAAAGGAGACUGCUUGAAUGUUCAAGUGUGUUGUUUCAGACCAGGUUCAACCAGCACAGGAGCACACUAAAGCCUCAUCUUUAAACUCUCUAAUAAAUAAAGAGUGCUUGAGACAUAGCUUCACUGUAGCCCAGGGUGAUCCCAAAGCUCAAGGUGACCUUGAACUUUUAACUUCAGCCUGCAGACUGAACCUAAGUGUCAAAAAGACAUACAAGAAACAGAUAAUCAAGUCACAAAAACUUGUAUAACUAGUAUACUUUUCAAAAUAACAAUAAUAUACUUUUCUUGGAAAGACUUUGAUCCGUCACAAAUCUACAAUGACUGAAGAUAUAGAGGGGCCAGGUGUGAUAGUGAACUCCUUCAAUUCCAGCACUGGAAAUCAGUGGUUGGAGGAUCUGAGAAUUCCAGGCCAGCCUGGACUACAUAAUGAAUUCUAGGACUGCCAGAGAGACACCCUUUCUCAGAAAGAAAGCAAGGGGGGAGGAGGAAAGAGAUGGGGAGAGGUAGGAGAGGAGAGAAAGGGAGGGAGAGAAUAUAUACAGUGCAGGGAAAUACCUUUAAAGGGUGUAGCACUGUACAGAAAGGUCAUUUUCUCACUCAAGCCCUGAUAACUUAAUGAGGACUUGUGGAAAGUGAACAGAGCCUACAGUUUCUUUUACUUUUUUUUUCCUUCUCUUUUUUCUUAUUUUUCGGAGCUGGGGACCGAACCCAGGGCCUUGCGCUUGCUAAACAAGCGCUCUACCGCUGAGCUAAAUCCCCAACCCCGAGCCUACAGUUUCUAAGCAGCUUCUUCAUUGAGGUGAAGAGAAAAUGACAAUUUGUAAGAAUGGCGGGACAACUCUUCCUGUAUUCAACAGAUUAAACUCAAAUCACCAUUUCCCAAUGCAAGUCUGAUUAGUAGUAUCCUCUGCUUCAGCAGGUAUGUAAGUGCUUUAAUUCCAAAAGGAAAAACAAUUUUUCACUCACCACCGUGUCCUUACUGUAGUCUCAGCUUAGAUACCAAUACUUGGAAUUCAACAUUUAUUCUAUAAACCAAUUUCCUUACUUGUAAAGGUAAAAGAGUAUUGCUGUGAGAUUAAUUAAUAAAUGUGAUGAAUUAUUUGUUUCUUUACAUUUAUUCUGCCCAUGUUUGUAUAUGUGCAUGUGUGUGGAAGUCAUAGCACACCCUGCAGUUGGCUCUCUAUUGUGAGAGUUGCAAGGAUGACACUCAGGUUGUCAAUAAGCGCCUUUCCCUGAGGAACUAUCACCUCGAUGGAUGUAAGGUUGUGGCUUGUGAUCAGACACAAAUAGGCCUCUAAAAAGGGGAGCACUAUUUUUAGUGCUGUUACCAAGAACCCCGAAAUUUAACGUAUUUUAUAAGCAUCUAAAACCACGUCUCUACCACUACCCUCCUUACUAAUUUGCUCUAUUACUGCCCCACAUUAAACUGUGUCCAAAUUUCUAUUCGCGCAAACUCUCACUUAACAAUCUUCAACUUCUAUUUAGGAAUAAUAUGACGUUUCCGUCUCCAGAGUGAAUGUGGAAAAGCUCUAUGUUCUUCCCCUGAAGCUUUCUUUGAGAAUGCUUUCUCCAGAGGUUUUACUGAUCUCCAAACCCUAAUUCCAAUAAAAGGUUGAUUACCAUGUAAGUCCCUAUUGAAUUUCAACACUGUCCUCUAAGGACUUAGGAUAAAGCUCUGUAGUAGACAGAGUGACUACAGGAGACCCUGGGUUCAAAGGUGGUAGGGUAGAGAGGUGGACCUAACAGAAGAAAAAAAGAAAAAAAGAAAAAGAAAUGCAAUUUAAUCUGCUCACAAUACCCAACUACUACGUACGGACCUUUGACUUUAAGUAACACGUGCAGAAGCAUUCGUUCACUCUUCCUUCCUUAUGCCACCAAAGUUCAGAGAUGUUGUAAAUGGUUUCUGCUAUAAACUUGGUUCAAAUUAAAUAUUACUUGACUGACUCAUGGAGGGAGUGGUCUGACUUCUGUUCUGAGUCAGAAAAUACCCAGUUCAGCAGUUCUCAACUAUUCUUCACUGGUAAAGGAGUUCUGAAAUGCCAGCUUAUUCUAGAUACUAAAUGUAAUAAACUGUUGUCUUAGUAAUACUUUUGCAUCUGAAAUUCAACUGAUAGUACAUUCAAGUGAAUUCUCUUACAUGUGCGUUGUAAUCUCUUGACUUAAUUAGCUGCACAUCCCAAGAGAAAAACUUUUACAAAGUGGCAACUUCAGUUGACUCCUCAGCUCCAAUAAAUACCCCCAUAACAAACAAAAUUCCCAAACAUAAAAGUCUGCUACAUUUCUUUAAUCAGCCUUUCCUCCCAGACAUAUCCCAGGUGCCUCAUAAAAACUGUCUCAAAGCACACACCCUGGGGCCCCAAGACAGUUUCAAGGCAGAAUCUCCUCCCACAUAAAAGCCGAGUUUAGGCCCCCAAAAUCUCAAGUCAGCAUCUCCUACAACCAUCCACUUGUCCUCUCCAUUAGUUUCCACAGCUCUCCUGUGUGCAAGCUGCUAGAUCAUUGUAAGAAUGAGAAAGUUCAAAGUCAGAUAUGCUACUGAGAGAAUAGCUUGGUAUUCUGGAAAAAAAAAAUCAGGGGCUUUAGAUGACAUUAAUUUUUAAUCCAAUUCUUAUUAUCUGUGUGACCUGGGACAAGCUCCUGAACAAAGUAUCCGCUGUUCAUGUGUCUCUCAUCCCACUGUCACAUCCAGGGGCACAUCGCCACAUCCCUAGUGCCCAGCAAACGGAAGCAUCUCAAAACAACUGCCAACCAAGGGCCACCAAGGACAUCCUCCACCGUCCUGGUUGUGAGAAUUAAGUAUUAAAAAACCACCUGUAGUACAGUAAGUGGCACUUAUUACUAACUACCCCCACCUCCCAGUGAAAGACAAUACUUCUCAAGCAGAGUGUGCUAAUUUCUGAAAAAAAGGACACCCUAAGAAUGCACCAUUAAUUUCUACCCAAGCUUAGCUGGGUCAUGCCUGCCAUCCUAACAGUUGGGAAGCUGCAGCAAGAAGACCACAAAUGCCAGGCCAGGUUAGAGAAUAAGACCUAGGCUCAAAAAAAUAAGUUAGAUAUAGGGAAAAUUUCUAACUUCAAGUAACAUUGAAUUUUGUUGUAAUUCUAUACCCACUAUCACAAAGAACCACCUUUAAAAAAAAAAACCAAAACUUUCCUUAUUCCCAACAUUUUUUGGUAGUAGUAGCACGAGGAAUUAAAUGAGUACUUCUUUACACGAGCCAGUGCUAUACCCCCAGACCCCUUUACUAUUUUUAGAUUAAGGUUCACAAAAUCUCACGCCAUUAACUGCCCUUGACAUCUUCCAUCCUCUGGCCUCUGACUCCCAAGUAGCUUUGCCUACUUAUUCCCAAUACUUUCUAUGAUUACAUCAUUGAAUAUAAAAUCCGUACCAACUACUCUUCAUCUCGGAAUCCCCCCUUCAGCCUACUUUUACACCUAUACUUUCAACACUUGGAAGACUUGAGGCAGGAGGGUCAGAGCUCAAAGCCAACCUGUUAGGAAGAGUUUGAGACCAUACUAUUUGGAAUUUCUACAAGUACGACAAAACAAAUGAAACAGAAGAAUUACUCUGCAACCCCCCUGGAAAAAGGUCAUUAACAACUCUUUCCGAUCAUUCGAUCCGUAACGAAAAAUGUCAGGAUCAGAAAACAAAGCCCUGAUAAUGUGAGUUCUAUAGUCUUAUUUCCUCUUGCGCACUAACAAGGCUGAACUUCUCUCACUUCCUGUCUGAAACUGCUCAGCAACAGAGGGGAGGGGGAGUGAAUACCAUAUACUAAUCCAGCAAUAGCAACUCCAAACUGAAGCAUUUGCUGAAUGCCUACGAUGACGCUAGAUUAGUCACUUAAUACUUCGUGACAAAUCCAAGGACAGACUCAACUAUGGCACUUCUAUAUCGAUAUUUAUGACCGUUUCUUAGGCGCUUUCCUGCAGAAUAAGAGAGUCACUCACUGAUAAAAUACCGCGGUUUACCUCAUUAAAUAUCCUUGACCUGAACACUAAGCAUUUGCCAAAAAAGAAAAAAAAAGUUUAUGCUUCCGAAUACUUUACCGGCAAAAAGUCAGGCUUCUGGACAAGAGUCAAGCUUGGAUGGUUAGCGCUGGGAAAUGGGGGUGGGGAGGACGGCAAAGACAUCUCUGGAAAUUCAUAAAUUACAUACAUUUUUUUACGAAAGGGGAAAGAAGCGCCAGAGAUCAGCGUCUCGGGAGACUCAGAUCCUUUCCUCUUACUUGACUGCAACUCAGGGAUCCCACGCUUCCGCCUGAGUUUAGACCCUGGACGCGAAGGUUCACUAUCAACACAAAGACUAAGGGGCCUCCAGGAUGCCUGUGCUCACGCGCCGGACAAACGCAGGCGCACCCCUGCACACCUCCUCGUCCGCCACGCUCCUC
ensembl:lncRNA